CUUCCUCCAAAUCUGACCAGAACAAGGACUCUGAACUCUUUACCAUCAGCAACACCAUUUUAGACACUCAAAGACAAUGACCGCUCAAGAGAAAAACUUGGAGCAAUUAUGGAUAAUAGAAAGGGAUCAACACAGCCACAGGUAAGUAUAUACGAUACCCAUCACUGUACUAACAAAGACUGAAAGAAAAAUGCUUUUGGAU
rnacentral:lncRNA from 1 species